rnacentral:rRNA from 1 species
UACGUAGGGGGCAAGCGUUGUCCGGAUUUAUUGGGCGUAAAGAGCGUGUAGGCGGUUUGGUAGGUCCGUUGUGAAAACUCGAGGCUCAACCUCGAGACGCCGGCGGAAACCAUCAGGCUAGAGUCCGGAAGAGGAGAGUGGAAUUCCUGGUGUAGCGGUGAAAUGCGCAGAUAUCGGGAAGAACACCCGUGGCGAAGGCGGCUCUCUGGGACGGUACUGACGCUGGGGUGCGAAAGCAUGGGGAGCGAACAGG